rnacentral:rRNA from 1 species
UACGAAGGGUGCAAGCGUUACUCGGAAUUAUUGGGCGUAAAGGGCGCGUAGGCGGCUUUUCAAGUGACGGGUGAAAUCCCUCGGCUUAACCGAGGAACUGCCUGUCAGACUGGAAGGCUUGAGACCGGGAGAGGUGAGUGGAAUUCCCAGUGUAGCGGUGAAAUGCGUAGAUAUUGGGAGGAACACCAGUGGCGAAGGCGGCUCACUGGACCGGAACUGACGCUGAGGCGCGAAAGCGUGGGGAGCAAACAGG